rnacentral:rRNA from 1 species
GACCUGGCUGGGCGGUCUUGCCGAAAGGUAAGCACUGCUCUGGUCGGGUCUUUCCUUCUGGGGAACCAGCGUGCGCUUAAUUGAGUGCGCAGGGGAUCCAGGACUUUUACUUUGAAAAAAUUAGAGUGUUCAAAGCAGGCUAUCGCCCGAAUACAUUAGCAUGGAAUAAUAAAAUAGGAC